GGAUGCUUUUGGCGCGGUGCCUUCCGAGUUCCCUGGAACGGGACGCCUUAGAGGGUGAGAGCCCCGUACGGUUGGACACCAAGCCUCUGUAAAGCUCCUUCGACGAGUCGAGUAGUUUGGGAAUGCUGCUCUAAAUGGGAGGUAAAUUUCUUCUAAAGCUAAAUAUUGGCCAGAGACCGAUAGCGCACAAGUAGAGUGAUCGAAAGAUGAAAAGCACUUUGAAAAGAGGGUUAAAUAGCACGUGAAAUUGUUGAAAGGGAAGCGUUUGCGACCAGACCUUUUCCUAGCGGAUCAUCCGGUGUUCUUCACCGGUGCACUUCGCUAGGUUGAGGCCAGCAUCGGUUUUCGUAGGGGGAUAAAAGCCCUGGGAACGUAGCUCCUCCGGGAGUGUUAUAGCCCUCUGCAUAAUACCCUUACGGGGACCGAGGACCGCGCUUUUAGCAAGGAUGCUGGCGUAAUGGUCGUCAACGACCCGUCUUGAAACACGGACCAAGGAGUCGAACAUUUGUGCGAGUGUUUGGGUGUUAAACCCUCACGCGUAAUGAAAGUGAACGGAGGUGAGAGCCCUUACGGGUGCAUCAUCGACCGAUCCUGAUGUCUUCGGAUGGAUUUGAGUAAGAGCAUAACUGUUCGGACCCGAAAGAUGGUGAACUAUGCGUGGAUAGGGUGAAGCCAGAGGAAACUCUGGUGGAGGCUCGCAGCGGUUCUGACGUGCAAAUCGAUCGUCAAAUCUGCGCAUGGGGGCGAAAGACUUAUCGAACCAUCUAGUAGCUGGUUACCGCCGAAGUUUCCCUCAGGAUAGCAGUGUUGUUCUUCAGUUUUAUGAGGUAAAGCGAAUGAUUAGGGACUCGGGGGCGCUUUUUAGCCUUCAUCCAUUCUCAAACUUUAAAUAUGUAAGAAGCCCUUGUUACUUAAUUGAACGUGGGCAUUCGAAUGUACCAACACUAGUGGGCCAUUUUUGGUAAG
rnacentral:rRNA from 1 species